rnacentral:rRNA from 1 species
CAGCACCUCAAGUGGUCAGGAUGAUUAUUGGGACUAAAGCAUCCGUAGCCGGCUCUGUAAGUUUUCGGUUAAAUCUGUACGCUCAACGUACAGGCUGCCGGGAAUACCGCAGAGCUAGGGAGUGGGAGAGGUAGACGGUACUCGGUAGGAAGGGGUAAAAUCCUUUGAUCUAUUGAUGACCACCUGUGGCGAAGGCGGUCUACCAGAACACGUCCGACGGUGAGGGAUGAAAGCUGGGGGAGCAAACCGGAUUAGAUACCCGAGUAGUCC